rnacentral:rRNA from 1 species
CGAGAAAGCCCGCAAGGGUGAGUAAAGCGGCGCACGGGUGCGUAACACGUGGGUAAUCUGCCCUGAAGUCUGGAAUAACUCGCCGAAAGGCGUGCUAAUGCCGGAUAAGACCACGGGAGCUUCGGCUUCUGCGGGAAAAGGUGGCCUCUGUAUACAAGCUAUCACUUCAGGAUGAGCCCGCGGCCCAUCAGCUCGUUGGCGGGGUAAUGGCCCACCAAGGCUACGACGGGUAGCUGGUCUGAGAGGACGAUCAGCCACACUGGAACUGAGACACGGUCCAGACUCCUACGGGAGGCAGCAGUGGGGAAUCUUGCGCAAUGGGCGAAAGCCUGACGCAGCAACGCCGCGUGUGUGAUGAAGGUCUUCGGAUCGUAAAGCACUGUCGCGAGGGACG